UACGUAGGGUGCAGGCGUUAAUCGGAAUUACCGGGCGUAAAGCGUGCGCAGGCGGUUUGCUAAGACAGGUGUGAAAUCCCCGGGCUUAACCUGGGAACUGCGCUUGUUACUGGCAAGCUAGAGUGUGGCAGAGGGGGGUGGAAUUCCAGGUGUAGCAGUGAAAUGCGUAGAUACCUGGAGGAACACCGAUGGCGAAGGCAGCCCCCUGGGCUAACACUGACGCUCAUGCACGAAAGCGUGGGGAGCAAACAGG
rnacentral:rRNA from 1 species